rnacentral:misc_RNA from 1 species
GAUGAAGAACGCAGUGAAAUGCGAUACGUAAUGUGAAUUGCAGAAUUCAGUGAAUCAUCGAGUCUUUGAACGCACAUUGCGCCCCCUGGUAUUCCGGGGGGCAUGCCUGUCCGAGCGUCAUUGCUGCCCUCAAGCACGGCUUGUGUGUUGGGCCUCCGUCCUCCUCCCGGGGGACGGGCCCGAAAGGCAGCGGCGGCACCGCGUCCGGUCCUCGAGCGUAUGGGGCUUCGUCACCCGCUCUUGUAGGCCCGGCCGGCGCUUGCCGACACAUCAAUCUUUUUUCCAGGUUGACCUCGGAUCAGGUAGGGAUACCCGCUGAACUUAAGCAUAUCAAUAGCGGAGGA